rnacentral:sRNA from 1 species
CAUCUGGACAGCCUGUUCUGGGAAGCCCCAGUGGAGUGGGGGCAGGGGUGGCCUCUGGACAGGGGCCCUCCACAGCCAGGCUUGUCUGGGCUCUUCCCAAAGAGGCUUGGCACUGGGUGGGUGGGCAGCCGAAGUGGGGGGACGGUGAGGCCCAGAUGAUCUUCAGCCGGGUGGUCUUCACGCCCCACUGGGAGGCCUGUGGCCCCCGUUCUGCCCUGCCCCCUGGCGGCACAGCCCUCGGUCCGGGCCCUGGGCAGGGAGCAGGCCGCCACCCUGCGCUGACCGUGCUGCCGGGUGCUGUCUGUCUGUUAUAUAGCCCUGUCAGUCUGCUAUAAGGCCGGACCGGGGGCGGACAACGGCGAGGAAGGGGAAAUAGAAGAGGAAAUGGAGAAUCCGGAAAUGGUGGACCUGCCUGAGAAACUAAAGCACCAGCUGCGGCAUCGGGAGCUGUUCCUCUCCCGGCAGCUGGAGUCUCUGCCCGCCACGCACAUCAGGUAGCCCCCAGCAGCUCCCGCCCUGGGCCCCUCGGGCUGCCCUCGCCUUUCCAGCCUGCCCGUCCUUCUCUUCCAGGGGCAAGUGCAGCGUCACCCUGCUCAACGAGACCGAGUCGCUCAAGUCCUACCUGGAGCGGGAGGAUUUCUUCUUCUAUUCUCUAGUCUACGACCCACAGCAGAAGACCCUGCUGGCAGAUAAAGGAGAGAUUCGAGUAGGAAACCGGUACCAGGCAGACAUCACCGACUUGUUAAAAGAAGACGGAGUCUCGCUCUGUUGCCCAGGCUGGAGUGCAGUGGGGUGAUCUCGGCUCACUGCAACCUCCGCCUCCCAGGCGAGGAGGAUGGCCGAGACCAGUCCAAGCUGGAGACCAAGGUGUGGGAGGCGCACAACCCACUCACAGACAAGCAGAUCGACCAGUUCCUGGUGGUGGCCC